AUUUAAAUAGUUUAAUUAAAAUUUUAAUUUGUGGAAUUAAAGAUAUGAUUUUUUCAUUUUAAAUA
rnacentral:tRNA from 1 species